GAUGAACGCUGGCGGCGUGCCUAAUACAUGCAAGUCGAGCGAACAGACGAGGAGCUUGCUCCUCUGACGUUAGCGGCGGACGGGUGAGUAACACGUGGAUAACCUACCUAUAAGACUGGGAUAACUUCGGGAAACCGGAGCUAGUACCGGAUAACAUGUUGAACCGCAUGGUUCAACAGUGAAAGACGGUCUUGCUGUCACUUAUAGAUGGAUCCGCGCCGCAUUAGCUAGUUGGUAAGGUAACGGCUUACCAAGGCAACGAUGCGUAGCCGACCUGAGAGGGUGAUCGGCCACACUGGAACUGAGACACGGUCCAGACUCCGACGGGAGGCAGCAGGAGGGAAUCUUCCGCAAUGGGCGAAAGCCUGACGGAGCAACGCCGCGUGAGUGAAGAAGGUCUUCGGAUCGUAAAACUCUGUUAUUAGGGAAGAACAAAUGUGUAAGUAACUAUGCACGUCUUGACGGUACCUAAUCAGAAAGCCACGGCUAACUACGU
rnacentral:rRNA from 1 species